UACAGAGGUCCCAAGCGUUGUUCGGAUUCACUGGGCGUAAAGGGUGCGUAGGUGGUGAGGUAAGUCGGAUGUGAAAGCUCCAAGCUCAACUUGGAAAUGGCAUUGGAAACUACCUUGCUAGAGGGUUUGAGGGGGGACUGGAAUGACUUGGUGUAGCAGUGAAAUGCGUAGAUAUCAAGUGGAACACCAGUGGCGAAAGGCGAGUCCCUGGAAAACUCCUGACACUGAGGCCACGAAAGCUAGGGGAGCAAACAGG
rnacentral:rRNA from 1 species